AGCGAGGCUGUUUAAUCUGCUCAGGAACACGUUAACAGUUUCGGUGGGUGCAAGUGCUUGAGAUGAUGAGAAGGGUCUGCGGAACAGUGUAGCAAACAAAAGGAGCUUUAGCAAACACAAUUUACAAACAAUGCAGGCUUGUUUUGUGUGAGAAUGCAGAGACUGCGCCAGACAAACUUCCUUGCUUUCGAAAGGCUGUUACUGCAGGGACGUGAACAAUGUGGCGAUUUAUACGGUGAAUAUAAUGGAAGAAUAAUGACAGCAGCUAUGGGACGGAGGUUAUUAAAAAUGGUGCCAGAAAUGUUGAGCUUUCCGAGCAAUUUCUGAUUCUUUACUGGAUGAGAGGAACAAUUGGCCAGGACAGCACUUAUUGGCCAUCCCUAAUUGCCCAGAGGCCAGUUAAGCGUCAACCACAUUGCUGUGGGCCUGGAGUCACAUAUAGGCCAGACCAGUUGGGACCUCUUGUGUGAGCCUAUGCAUGAGUGUUGUUGAAAGACAUUUGAUGAACCUUAAUGCCCUCGCCAAUACAUUCAAGUGUAUUAAGAUGCAAUCAGACCCAAAGAGUUUACGAAUGGUUGAAUUAAUUAUUAAUCUGAUUAAUGGAAAAUCUGUCUUCGAUGCGGCUACUGAACAGAAGUAUUUUUUUCAAACGGUCUGAAUUCUUGAGUGGGUUUCAGCAAUGAGUGGCUUUUCUUGAUAUUAAGUGUGAAUGAAUGAGAGUUCGAUUAGAGUGUUCAUUUUAUUUUUCAUCUCCACAAGGAUUCUGAAGUCUAUACCUUUUGGAUACUAGUGCAUGGUUUUUGGAAGUGGCACAGAAACUGAAGUGGCAUGAAGAUGUCUGUGGAAAACGUGAACACAUAAACUUCUCACAAUAUCACUGCACAUUCACCGGUAGCUGAAAAGAAUUGCUUAAGACGAAAAAUGAAAGUGAAGCCUCUGAAGAUUUACUAUCGUGUGUUUAAAUUAAAUGUCUUUUUAAAAAUGGGAUAAGAUGAACAUUAUUAACAAGUGUUAUUAAAUUAAAAUAAAAUGGAGCUUUGCU